UACGUAGGGGGCAAGCGUUAUCCGGAUUUACUGGGUGUAAAGGGAGCGUAGACGGAAUUGCAAGUCUGAUGUGAAAAUCCGGGGCCCAACCCCGGAACUGCAUUGGGAACUGUAUUUCUAGAGUGUCGGAGAGGCAAGUGGAAUUCCUGGUGUAGCGGUGAAAUGCGUAGAUAUCAGGAGGAACACCAGUGGCGAAGGCGGCUUGCUGGACGAUGACUGACGUUGAGGCUCGAAAGCGUGGGGAGCAAACAGG
rnacentral:rRNA from 1 species